rnacentral:miRNA from 4 species
CUCUUGAGGGAAGCACUUUCUGU